rnacentral:rRNA from 1 species
UGGCCCARAUMGUUUACCGUGAAAAAAUUAGAGUGUUCAAAGCAGGCAGAUCCAAUUUUCUGCCACCGAAUACAUUAGCAUGGGAUAAUGGAAUAGGACCCUGUCCUCCUAUUUUCAGUUGGUUUUGGCAGCGCGAGGACUAGGGUAAUGAUUAAUAGGGAUAGUUGGGGGCAUUAAUAUUUAAUUGUCAGAGGUGAAAUUCUUGGAUUUAUGAAAGAUUAACUUCUGCGAAAGCAUCUGCCAAGGAUGUUUUCAUUAAUCAAGAACGAAAGUUAGGGGAUCGAAGACGAUCAGAUACCGUCGUAGUCUUAACCAUAAAGGAUGCCGACCAGCGAUUAGGAGACGUUGAAUCCCCUCCUCCACCAUCGGUUGCGGUCAUCCUUGGCGUCUCGGUUUCGGCCGGGGCGCGGGGAUUGKSYMSMCMMYYUUGSMYCCRAYWG